GUGUCUUGUCAUUGUCCUUACACUCGGAAUGACAACGCCAUCUACCUCACCCUGAAAAUGUGAAGAUUAGAUCAGGCAAUGGACUUGGCAUCGGCUCAGAAUACUGCUUUUGCCAGCACACUGUGAACAAAGCCAUCCCACUGGGACUGAUUCCCAGUCACUAAGCUCAUAAUCCCAUAUAAAAAUCAAAGUAAAGAGGUCAGUAUGAAUGGGCACUUGCCCAUGCAGACAGACAUAAGCAUGGAAGCUAGAGUGAAACAGAAGUCUGUUCGAUGCAUGAGGUUAUCACAACAAUAAAAUUGACAUCUAGGGGAAAAUUGAAAGAUAUGAAGGUUGCUAAACUGUGACCAAGAAGUAGCUAGGCCCACUUAAUAUCAUUUUCAAGUUAUUUAUUCAAUAAUUAAGGUAAUUAUCAAUUUUCACUUUUUCAUUUGUUCAUUGGCAUUUAUUCACUUGUAUAAAUAAGGCAUAAGGUAUUUCUUUAAUGAACUCACACGUUGGGAAGGAUGAAUUAAAUGAUAAAUGCUCCAUCAUAGGUUGGAUAAUAGGAGAAAGGCACAAACAUAUACCUAUCUUGUAAAAAGAAUGAAUAAAUUACCAAAAAUGGUAAAUGAGUUACAGCAAGUUUCACAGAAUAGUGGAUAUUUGAGUUGUAACUUGAAAGAAAAAUUAGGAGCCAGUAAGGCAAAAAGGAAGGAGAAUUCCAGAGAUGAAAAGAAACUAUGACACAGUUGAGUGAGUGUAAGUUUUGAUUUGAAUGAGUAGUUCUGUGUAUAGAAAAAGGGAAAAGAAGCGGCAGAGGAAGACAGGAGUAAGGGUUAGGAGACUUAGCAGAGUAUACCGAUGAUCCAUGGUUAGAAACUAUCCAAACUCCUAAAUCUUCCAAUGAUAUACACCAUAGAGCCAAGACAGAAGUACUAGAUAUUUACACAGUGUUCACCUCGUGGGUGACAGAGAGGGGUGGAUGUGUCAUGACUUUAUCUGUUAGAUGAAGCAAUUGUUGCCCAGAUUCAAGGGAGAUAUUCAACUUUGUAUGGUGAGAGGAUGACCCAUAAAGAUCGUUCAGAUCAUCUGAGACUACUGCCACCAUUUUACCACUAGUGUACCCACCCCCACUGCCUGGGGGUUCUUGAGAGUUUAGAACAUUUAUUUUUUUUCAUACAAAUUUAAAGGUUUGAUAGGGAUUACAUUGAGUCUGUGGAUUGCCUUGCAAUCCCUAUCAGUUACCAAUGGCAUUUUUUCACAGAGCUAGAACAAAAAAAUUUUAAAUCUGUAUGGAAACACAAAAACCCUGAAUAGCCAAAGCAAGCCUGAGCAAAAGAGCUUGAGGAAGUAGGCUCCCUGACUUCAUACAAUACUACAGUCAUCUAAACAUGAUACUAGCACAAAACAGAAAUGUAGAUCAUGGAACAGAUUAGAAAACUCAGAAAUAAGCCCACGCACCUAUGGUCAAUGAAUCUGUGACAAAGGAGGCAAGAAUAGACAAUGGAGAAAAGAGUCUCUUCAAUAAGUAGUGCUAGGAAAAUUGGACAGAUACACGUCAAAAACAGAAAAUUAGGAUGUUCUUUAGCACCAUACAAAAAAUAAACUCAAAAUGGAUAAAAUACGUAAAUAUAAGGCCAGACAUUAAAACACCUAGAGGAAAACAUGGGCAGAACACUCUGUCACAUAAACCGCAUAUCUUUUUGCGAUUAAUCGCCAUAUCUUUUUUGAUCCACCUCCUAGACUAAUGAUAAUAAAAGCAAAAAUAAACAAACUGGGCCAAAUUAAACUUUAAAUCUUCACGGCAAAGGAACCAUGAACAAAACAAAAAGACCACCCAUGGAAUGGGAGGAAAUAUUUGCAAAUAA